rnacentral:rRNA from 1 species
UACGAAGGGGGCUAGCGUUGCUCGGAAUCACUGGGCGUAAAGGGUGCGUAGGCGGGUCUUUAAGUCAGGGGUGAAAUCCUGGAGCUCAACUCCAGAACUGCCUUUGAUACUGAGGAUCUUGAGUUCGGGAGAGGUGAGUGGAACUGCGAGUGUAGAGGUGAAAUUCGUAGAUAUUAGGAAGAACACCAGUGGCGAAGGCGGCUCACUGGUCCGGUACUGACGCUGAGGUGCGAAAGCGUGGGGAGCAAACAGG